rnacentral:rRNA from 1 species
GAUGAACGCUGGCGGCGUGCCUAAUACAUGCAAGUCGAGCGAACAGACGAGGAGCUUGCUCCUCUGACGUUAGCGGCGGACGGGUGAGUCACACGUGGAUAACCUACCUAUAAGACUGGGAUAACUUCGGGAAACCGGAGCUAAUACCGGAUAAUAUAUUGAACCGCAUGGUUCAAUAGUGAAAGACGGUUUUGCUGUCACUUAUAGAUGGAUCCGCGCCGCAUUAGCUAGUUGGUAAGGUAACGGCUUACCAAGGCAACGAUGCGUAGCCGACCUGAGAGGGUGAUCGGCCACACUGGAACUGAGACACGGUCCAGACUCCUACGGGAGGCAGCAGUAGGGAAUCUUCCGCAAUGGGCGAAAGCCUGACGGAGCAACGCCGCGUGAGUGAUGAAGGUCUUCGGAUCGUAAAACUCUGUUAUUAGGGAAGAACAAAUGUGUAAGUAACUAUGCGCGUCUUGACGGUACCUAAUCAGAAAGCCACGGCUAACUACGUG